GACGAACGCUGGCGGCGUGCUUAACACAUGCAAGUCGAGCGGUAAGGCCCUUCGGGGUACGACGAGCGGCGAACGGGUGAGUAACACGUGGGUGACCUGCCUCUAGCUCUGGGAUAAGCCUGGGAAACUGGGUCUAAUACCGGAUAUGACUCCACGGCGCAUGUUGUGGGGUGGAAAGCCUUGUGUGGCUAGAGAUGGGCCCGCGGCCUAUCAGCUUGUUGGUGGGGUGAUGGCCACCAAGGCGACGACGGGUAGCCGGCCUGAGAGGGCGACCGGCCACACUGGGACUGAGACACGGCCCACGACUCCUACGGGAGGCAGCAGUGGGGAAGUCUUGCGCAAUGGGCGAAAGCCUGACGCAGCGACG
rnacentral:rRNA from 1 species